UGGUAGCGUAGCUAACGCGAGAAGUUGACCGCCUGGGGAGUACGGCCGCAAGGUUAAAACUCAAAGGAAUUGACGGGGACCCGCACAAGCGGUGGAUGAUGUGGAUUAAUUCGAUGCAACGCGAAAAACCUUACCUGGUCUUGACAUGUACAGAACUUUCCAGAGAUGGAUUGGUGCCCGAAAGGGAGCUGUAACACAGGUGCUGCAUGGCUGUCGUCAGCUCGUGUCGUGAGAUGUUGGGUUAAGUCCCGCAACGAGCGCAACCCUUGCCAUUAGUUGCUACCAUUCAGUUGAGCACUCUAAUGGGACUGCCGGUGACAAACCGGAGGAAGGUGGGGAUGACGUCAAGUCCUCAUGGCCCUUAUGACCAGGGCUUCACACGUCAUACAAUGGUCGGUACAGAGGGUAGCCAAGCCGCGAGGUGGAGCCAAUCUCAUAAAACCGAUCGUAGUCCGGAUCGCACUCUGCAACUCGAGUGCGUGAAGUCGGAAUCGCUAGUA
rnacentral:rRNA from 1 species